rnacentral:rRNA from 1 species
AACGCUAGCUACAGGCUUAACACAUGCAAGUCGAGGGGCAUCAGGAACAAAGCUUGCUUUGUUUGCUGGCGACCGGCGCACGGGUGAGUAACGCGCAUCCGACCUACCCAUAACUCGGGCACAGCCGCUCGAAAGAGCGAUUGAUUCCCGAUAUGUCAUAUAAGUCUAUUAUAUGAUGAAAGAUUUAUCGGUUAUGGAUGGGGAUGCGUAAGAUUAGGUAGUAGGCGGGGUAACGGCCCACCUAGCCGACGAUCUUUAGGGGUUCUGAGAGGAAGGUCCCCCACACUGGUACUGAGACACGGUCCAAACUCCUACGGGAGGCAGCAGUGAGGAAUAUUGGUCAAUGGGCGAGAGCCUGAACCAGCCAAGUAGCGUGCAGGAUGACGGCCCUAUGGGUUGUAAACUGCUUUUAUAAGGGAAUAAAGUGAGUCUCGUGAGACUUUUUGCAUGUACCUUAUGAAUAAGGACCGGCUAAUUCCGUGCCAGCAGCCGCGGUAAUACGGAAGGUUCGGGCGUUAUCCGGAUUUAUUGGGUUUAAAGGGAGCGUAGGCCGGAGAUUAAGCGUGUUGUGAAAUGUAGACGCUCAACGUCUGCACUGCAGCGCGAACUGGUUUCCUUGAGUACGCACAAAGUGGGCGGAAUUCGUGGUGUAGCGGUGAAAUGCUUAGAUAUCACGAAGAACUCCGAUUG